UACGUAGGGUCCGAGCGUUGUCCGGAGUUACUGGGCGUAAAGCGCGCGCAGGCGGCGGUAUAAGCAUGGCGUGAAAGCCCCAGGCUCAACCUGGGAACGGCGCGCGAAACGGGGGGGCUUGAGUUCGGGAGAGGAGAGUGGAAUUCCCAGUGUAGAGGUGAAAUUCGUAGAUAUUGGGAAGAACACCGGUGGCGAAGGCGGCUCUCUGGACCGAGACUGACGCUGAGGCGCGAAAGCGUGGGGAGCAAACAGG
rnacentral:rRNA from 1 species